rnacentral:rRNA from 1 species
UACAGAGGUCUCAAGCGUUGUUCGGAUUCAUUGGGCGUAAAGGGUGCGUAGGCGGCGCGGUAAGUCGGGUGGUGAAAUCUCGGGGCUUAACUCCGAAACUGCAUUCGAUACUGCCGUGCUUGAGGACUGGAGAGGAGACUGGAAUUUACGGUGUAGCGGUGAAAUGCGUAGAUAUCGUAAGGAAGACCAGUGGCGAAGGCGGGUCUCUGGACAGUUCCUGACGCUGAGGCACGAAGGUCAGGGGGAGCAAACGGG